UACAGGGGGGGCAAGCGUUGUUCGGAAUUACUGGGCGUAAAGGGUUUGUAGGUGGCUUGUUAAGUCAGACGUGAAAUCCCUCAGCUUAACUGGGGAACUGCGUCUGAUACUGGCGAGCUUGAGUGCAGGAGAGGAACGCGGAAUUCCAGGUGUAGCGGUGAAAUGCGUAGAUAUCUGGAGGAACACCGGUGGCGAAGGCGGCGUUCUGGACUGUAACUGACACUGAGAAACGAAAGUCAGGGUAGCAUACGGG
rnacentral:rRNA from 1 species